UACGAAAGGAAGAAGACAGACAUGCCCGAGGGAGGAGAACAUCUAAAUAAACGAUUACGACCAUGAAGUGAUGGUUCUAAGGGUGACAGGUGCUGUGAAAACACUGAUCCAAAGAGGCAUCUUGGACCCGACCAUGCGUCCAGUUGGCAGGGACCAUCUCCUCCCCCACGGCAGUGUCCUGGUGCCAGCUGGCUGCGGUGCUGGUGAUAGAGAAGGCCCCUAUUUGGCUUCAUUUCAGGCAAGUUGAAUGAACAUCAUUAGAGCAAUGUAAAAGGGGUGAUGGGAAACUUGGAUGAAAUCAUAGAAAGAGCGCUGAUCACAUUUGCAUUGGACUCAACGCUGGGAGAGAGCGCUUAGAUGCUGGGUGACAUAAUCAGGAUUCUAAAAGAUCCUGUCAGGCUGCAGCGGUGAACCGACAUUAACUGGGUCAAAUGCAAUAGGGAAAAAUCACGGUCCUGCAUCUAGAUUAUAAAGCGAAUCAAGUUUUGCAAACAGAAUGACAAGGACAGAAUCUAAGAUGGCAAAGACGGAAGACUUGGCUCUAAUGAACUAUGAAACAGAUGCAUGCCCAAAGCACUAUAAACAAGAUAAAAAGGCAAACAGUAAACUGGGAAAAAUAAUGGCAGCCUAGAUGAUAGGAGACUGGGCUGAUGGGCUUAAGAGGUCUUUCAAGUCAAUACAGAAAAGAAAAAUGAAGCCCGAAUGUACACAAGCAGUUCAGAAACCAAGAAGUCAAAAUGGUCAAACGCCCACUCUGAAGAUGGUGUCGGUUCAACUCAAAUCAGCUGCUACACAUGAGGAGAUAAAAUAUGUUGGAAGACAACUACCAUUUACCCAGAGUGGAAUUUUGAGGAGUAAGGAGCCACCAUGAUAAUACUAAGAUUGAGAGUUUCUGAGCAUGGAUGCUGUGUCUCAAUCCUCACAAUGACCUGUAUCAUGAAAGGAGUUAGCUCACUUGAUUGGUAUGUGGCAGUUUGCUUUCCAGACUCCUCUGACUAUUCUGGGUCUCAGAUUUCCCAUCAUUUUAUCCACCUGCCUGCUCUGAGACUAAUAUGAAUUUAUUUGGCCAGCUGCAUAAUGAGUGCCAAAAAUAUUCACAUUCUAACCCCAGGACCUGGGAAUGUUACUUAUACAGCAGAAACACUUUGCAGAUAUCCUGGGGUUAAAGAUCCAGAAAUGGGGACAUUAACAUGGAUUAUCGGAGCUGGCCCUACAUGUGAUUGUAAGCAUCCUUCUCAGUGGGAGGCAGAGGGGUACUUAACAGAGGAGGACAAGGUGAGGUGACAGCAGGAGCAGAGACUGGAAUGAUGUGCUUUGUAUGUGAGGAAGGGGCCGCAAGUUGAGAAGCCCCAGCAACCACCAUGAGCUGAAAAGUCAAGGAAGCCAGUUCUCUCCUCAAAGCCUUCAGAAGAAACCAGCCCUCCCAUAUUUUAACUUCAGCCCGUGAAACCGAUCACAGAGCCCCGGC
rnacentral:lncRNA from 1 species